AACAUCAAGACCUUCUACAAACUGCAAGAUCCAUAUGUAGCUACAGUGAUCAGAACCAGAGAUACUCAGAAAGGAAGAUUCUCCAUCUCUGAUAACAGAAGAUCUAGAGUUAUCAGUGUGAGAAUCAGUGAUGUGAGAGAAGAUGAUGGAGGAGUUUAUUACUGUGGAGGAUGGAUUGAAGCUGUUAAAGUCAGUUAUCUUCCCCUCUACACAGAGAUUCAUCUGCAGGUUUCUGCGAAACCAGCAACACCAGCAUUGACAUCUAAGCCACCAGCACCAUUUACAACUCAACCAUCACCAACAACUACCUCACCAGCAACUACCCCACCAGCACCAAUAGGCAACCCAGCACAAACAGAGCCAACUACACCAACAGUGACCACUUCUGCUCCAGGUUCCUUAAUCAACAACAACAUCAUUAU